rnacentral:rRNA from 1 species
UACGUAGGGCGCGAGCGUUGUCCGGAAUUAUUGGGCGUAAAGAGCUCGUAGGCGGCUUGUCACGUCGGGUGUGAAAGCCCGGGGCUUAACCCCGGGUCUGCAUUCGAUACGGGCUGGCUAGAGUGUGGUAGGGGAGAUCGGAAUUCCUGGUGUAGCGGUGAAAUGCGCAGAUAUCAGGAGGAACACCGGUGGCGAAGGCGGAUCUCUGGGCCAUCACUGACGCUGAGGAGCGAAAGCGUGGGGAGCGAACAGG